CAUAGCCCCUAAAAUAAUUAGAGGUGUGACCUGCCCAAUGAUUACUAAGUUAAACAUGAUAAAAUCAUUUUAAAGUAAUUUAAAGGACGCGGUAUCUUGACCGUGAUAAUGUAGCAUAAUCACUCGCCACUUAAUUAGUGGAUUGUAUGAAUGGUUGAACGAAUAUAACACUGUCUCAGGCAGAGGAUUUAUAAAAUUGGAAUAAUAGUAAAGAUACUAUUAAAAAUUAUAAGACGAAAAGACCCUAUAGAGCUUAACUAUAAUUUCUUUAAUCUAUGAUAAAUUGAUUUAUUUAAAUAAAGAAAUUGGUAGUUUAGUUGGGGCGACUAUCUUCUAAAAAUAACGAAGAUAAACAAAAUUAAUUAAAUAAUUUAUUGUAUAAUUAAUAUAUUUAACAAUUAUAAGUGUAGGUAAUAAUGACCCGUUUUACUACUAGAAAGAAUAAAACGAUUAAUAAAUAAAAGCUACCUUAGGGAUAACAGGAUAAUUUUAUUUUAGAGAUCUUAUCGAAAAUAAAGUUUGUCACCUCUAUGUUGAAUUAAGAUAUCCAGAUAAUGCAGAAGUUAUCAAAGGUAGGUCUGUUCGACCUUUAAAAUCUUACAU
rnacentral:rRNA from 1 species